rnacentral:rRNA from 1 species
AACGAACGCUGGCGGCAUGCCUAACACAUGCAAGUCGAACGGGAUCCUAGCUUGCUAGGUGAGAGUGGCGGACGGGUGAGUAACACGUGGGAAUCUGCCUUUUGGUUCGGGAUAACCGCGGGAAACUGCGGCUAAUACCGAAUGCCCUCGAGAGAGGAAAGAUUUAUCGCCAGAAGAGGAGCCCGCGUCCGAUUAGGUAGUUGGUGGGGUAAAGGCCUACCAAGCCGACGAUCGGUAGCUGGUCUGAGAGGAUGAUCAGCCACACUGGGACUGAGACACGGCCCAGACUCCUACGGGAGGCAGCAGUUGGGAAUCUUGGACAAUGGGGGAAACCCUGAUCCAGCCAUGCCGCGUGAGUGAUGAAGGCCUUC